rnacentral:rRNA from 1 species
UACGUAGGUGGCGAGCGUUGUCCGGAUUUACUGGGCGUAAAGGGUGCGUAGGUGGUUUCUUAAGUCAGAGGUGAAAGGCUACGGCUCAACCGUAGUAAGCCUUUGAAACUGGGAAACUUGAAUGCAGGAGAGGAGAGUGGAAUUCCUAGUGUAGCGGUGAAAUGCGUAGAGAUUAGGAAGAACACCAGUGGCGAAGGCGAUUCUCUGGACUGUAACUGACGCUGAGGCUCGAAAGCGUGGGGAGCAAACAGGAUUAGAUACCCUGGUAGUCCCUGA